UUAAGUUCAGCGGGUAUCCCUACCUGAUCCGAGGUCAACCUGUAAAAAUUGGGGGUUGCUGGCAAGUAGACCUACCGGACUCAAUCGCGAGGAGUAUUACUACGCGUAGAGCCGAUAGGCACCGCCACUGAUUUUAGGGGCCGCGAAACCGCGAACCCCAAUACCAAGCGAGAGCUUGAGUGGUUAUAAUGACGCUCGAA
rnacentral:misc_RNA from 1 species